UCUCUGCUAAAGGGAUAUGUUACUUUGUUACCUUGAGUUUAACAGUUUUAGAAAUAUUUGGUGAAUGCAACUUUAUGUUCAUUUUGAAUUUCAGAUAUAUGCAUGUGAACUAACUAUCUUAGUAUAUAUCAUGAAAGCAUUUAAUCAUUACAUUUUAAUUAUGGUUAAAAAUUCAAAGGUUUGAAAAGAACUUUAAUUUGUCAUUCAUGUUUUAUAUUGAAUUUUUCCACUGAAUGUUUUUUUUUUCACUGGAAGGCUUUAUCUUUGGGAUAGGGAAAUAAGAAAGACAGGAAGUCAAUGUUUAAUAUUCAGUUGAUAAUGUCAUAUAAUGCUGAUAACUUGUAAUUGUGUAUAUAACUUAAAUAGCCAGAAUUCUUAUUCAAAUUUCUAUUAAUUAAUCUUUUUAAUCAAAUCAGGUUGAAGAUUGGCCCUGGGUAAGGUUUUUUACCAAAACUGGGAAAAAAGGAAGGGUGCUUUGGACUUCCGGGAGCCUCUUACAUACUGUGCUCUCCACGGAUGUAUUAGACCUACAAGACCCACCAGAUGUCGUAGCAUAUGGUUCAAGGAUCUACUACAAAUUUGAAUUCCAAUGAAAAUAUCCAUGGAAGAAUGUCAUUUGAUGAAAGUAAAAUAAAUUGAUUCUUGUGUCGAA